rnacentral:sRNA from 1 species
CCCAGGGUGUUGCCCUGGGCUUAGGAAUCGCGCCCCUUCGGGGCU